CUAUCACUUCUGCACCAGGAGAUGACUAUUUAAGUCUCCAUAUACUUAAUCAAGGAGAUUGGACAUCCGAGCUCAUGAACAUAUUUGAAAAGGCAUGUAGCGCUGAAGAUAAAAUGAAAAGAGGUGGAAUAGUUAGACAAGAAACAACAAACGACUUGGGAUCAAGGUGAGUGAAAACUAUCCUCAUAGUUUU